rnacentral:ncRNA from 1 species
AGCCAUAAGGGUUAGUAUUACACCCUUAUGGCUAAUGUGUAAUAAUUACA